UAGCUCCCAGUCAUCACCAUCCUCACGCUUGUCUCAGGAACCUCCGUGAACCAUUCUCCACACUGGACCUUGGGCACAUUCCCCCACGCUUCAACCAGAACCAUUCUAAAGCACCUCCGAUUGCACAACACAACCGCUCCCGGAAGGAUCAAGGAGAAUUGUCUAUUUUUUCAAGAAAAUAAAACCCAUACCUUUA